GACGAACGCUGGCGGCGUGCUUAACACAUGCAAGUCGAACGGAAAGGCCCUGCUUUUGUGGGGUGCUCGAGUGGCGAACGGGUGAGUAACACGUGAGUAACCUGCCCUUGACUUUGGGAUAACUUCAGGAAACUGGGGCUAAUACCGGAUAGGAGCUCCUGCUGCAUGGUGGUGGUUGGAAAGUUUCGGCGGUUGGGGAUGGACUCGCGGCUUAUCAGCGUGUUGGUGGGGUGGUGGCUGACCAAGGCUUUGACGGGUAGCCGGCCUGAGAGGGUGACCGGCCACAUGGGAAGCGGGAUAAGGCCCGACCUCAGACGGGGGGUAGGUGGGGGGAAUAAUGUGAAAGGGGCGAAACCGUGGAGCCGGAACGCGCUGUGGGGGAAGGCGGCCUUCGGGUUGAAACCCGCUUUUCCUUUGUAGGAAGCGGGAGGGGGGGAAAUGGUGAAAAGACCACCGGUCAAUAGGGG
rnacentral:rRNA from 1 species